rnacentral:rRNA from 1 species
CCUACGGGAGGCAGCAGUGGGGAAUAUUGGACAAUGGGGGCAACCCUGAUCCAGCCAUGCCGCGUGUGUGAAGAAGGCCCUCGGGUUGUAAAGCACUUUCAGUGAGGAAGAACGCCUGGUGGUUAAUACCCAUCAGGAAAGACAUCACUCACAGAAGAAGCACCGGCUAACUCCGUGCCAGCAGCCGCGGUAAUACGGAGGGUGCGAGCGUUAAUCGGAAUUACUGGGCGUAAAGCGCGCGUAGGUGGCUUGAUAAGCCGGUUGUGAAAGCCCCGGGCUCAACCUGGGAACGGCAUCCGGAACUGUCAAGCUAGAGUGCAGGAGAGGAAGGUUGAAUUCCCGGUGUAGCGGUGAAAUGCGUAGAGAUCGGGAGGAAUACCAGUGGCGAAGGCGGCCUUCUGGACUGACACUGACACUGAGGUGCGAAAGCGUGGGUAGCAAACAGGAUUAGAUACCCUUGUAGUC